AGCAGGGUAGCUUAGUGGCUAGAGCACAGCCUUGGGAGUCAGAAGGACCUGGGUUCUAAUCCCAGCUCCGCCA
rfam:Ornithorhynchus anatinus chromosome X3, whole genome shotgun sequence.